UUUUUUCGCUGCAACUUUAACUCAGACCAAACAUUUCUAUCUCAAACCUCAUACCAAUUUCGCAGCGAAUAUCCCACUCUCAGUACUCCCUUCUUCUUCUCUCGGCUUACCCUGCUUCUCGCCGGUGGUUCUCACCAGUGGUCGUCGCCGCUGGGUCUCGCCCGUCGCCGGUGGUACUCCAGCAAGAGUCUAUUUAAUUUCCUCGCCUCUCACCGGUGGUUCCCUACUCGAAAAAACAACCGGCGAAGUCAUUCCCUGCUCAGAAAACUAAGCUAUAUCCAGACUCUAUCUCCUCCUAUAGUUCGUUUGUCUUUGCUAUCUCAAUUCGUAAGAAACGUCGUCGAUUGCACAGGUAUAUUUCUAAUCUAUUCGUCAAUUAACAUGUCUGUGGUGUUGGGGUUUGUGUAUGGUUCAAAUCGCCAGAUCUGGAGUUGAUUUAGCAAUUUUUUGUAUGUUGGUGUAUACCUAUUAUUUUUGGUCCAUUUCGUUAAUUGUUUGGGGGAAAUGAUUGGUUUUUUUUAGGGUUUGUUCGAAUUAUUGAGUUUUUUUAGGGUCUGUUCGAAUGAUUGGGUUUUUUUUGGGUUUGUUAAGUAUAAGAUACUUCCAAAUGAUUUUUUUGGGGUUUUAAUCAUAGAUGCACGAUCGUGAUUUGUGGAAAUGUGUUCUGUGUAAUAUUUGUUCUGUCCAGUUCGUUUGAGAGUUGUUGAUUUAAUCUAAUUUUUGUAGGACGAUUUGAUCUAGUUUUUGUUUUCUUUUACUGAAUUUCGUGACAGAUUGGUACAAUUGUGUGAAAUUGGCAGAAGAUUUGUGGGUUGAGACAGCAAUGGGUGGAUCCCUUAUUUAUGAGGAUAGCAAAUUUGCUAAUAUUGGCAAUAUCGCAGUAUGAAGGGUGGCACAAGCACAAGUUGCGAGAUCAAGCCAGGAAGCGCAGGAAUGUAUGGCGAUGGAGAGAUGGAUUGAUUUGGCAUCCCUAAUUUUGACGUCUGCGGAUUUGGUUUUCUCUAAGGUUGCUGAGAAAGUUUAUGCAGAUGGAAGAUCUGUCUUGACAUUCUAUAAAACCAAUGGAGUCCCAUAUAUGAUGUUGCUGCUAUCCUAACGUCAAUUCAGGUCUAUACUCCGAGGACUGCGCCUUAUGCUAGUGAGGAAAUUGAUGUGGUUCGUGAGCAAUGGGCGAUGUUUUUUUACCAGCAAGUAUUUAUUAUUGACCUGAGGAAGCUUGAUCGAGUUGGUUUAGAUGUAUAGAACAAUCUUUUAUGUUAAAAUGCAUGCGUACGUUGAAAUUGGAACGUAUGUAUAUUUAAAUGUAUUAGUACGUGCACUUUGGUUUUGGAAUAUAUACAAAACUACAAUUAUUGUUUAUAUA